ACUGUUGGGGGUAGAGCACUGUUUCGGCUAGGGGGCCAUAGCGGCUUACCAAACCGAUGCAAACUCCGAAUACCAAACAGUCUAGCUUGGGAGACACACGGCGGGUGAUAAGGUCCGUCGUGGAAAGGGCAACAGCCCAGACCGUCGGCUAAGGUCCCAAAAUGACAGUUGAGUGGGAAACGAAGUAGGAAGUCCUAAACAGCCAGGAGGUUGGCUUAGAAGCAGCCAUCCUU
rnacentral:rRNA from 1 species